rnacentral:rRNA from 1 species
CCUGGAAACGGUGGGUGGAUCAAAGCUCCGGCGGCAUAGGAUGGGCCUUGCGACGUAUCAGGUUGUAGGGGGUGUAACGUACCCUCUAGCCAUCAACGCGUACGGGUGUUGGGAGACAUAGCCCGGAGAUGGAUUCUGAGACACGAAUCCAGACCCUACGGGGUGCAGCAGGCGCGAAAACUUGGCAAUGCGAGCAAUCGUGACCAGGGAACUCCAAGUGGCUGGGGUAAUACCCAGUUUUUUCUUGACUCUUCAAAGGUCUUGGAAUAAGGGGUGGGUAAGGACGGUGCCAGCCGCCGCGGUAAUACCGGCGCCUCAAGUGGUAGUCGCUUUUAUUGGGCCUAAAACGUCCGUAGCCGGUCUGGUGCAUUCGUGGGUAAAUCAACCCGCUCAACGGGUUGAAUUCUGCGAGCACGGCCAGACUUGGGACCGGGAGAGGCGUGGGGUACUCUCAGGGUAGGGGUAAAAUCCUGUCAUCCUGAGAGGACCACCUGUUGCGAAGGCGCCACACUAGAACGGAUCCGACGGUCAGGGACGAAACCUAGGGGCACGAACCGGAUUAGAUACCCGGGUAGUCCUAGGUGUAAACGCUGUGGACUUGAUGUUGGGGGCGCUCCGAGCGCUCUCAGUGUCGAAGCGAAGGUGAUAAGUCCACUGCCUGGGGAGUACGGUCGCAAGGCUGAAACUUAAAGGAAUUGGCGGGGGAGCACUGCAACCUGAGGAUUGUGCGGUUUAAUUGGAUUCAACGCCGGG